rnacentral:rRNA from 1 species
CCUACGGGGGGCUGCAGUAGGGAAUUUUGCGCAAUGGGCGAAAGCCUGACGCAGCAACGCCGCGUGAUUGAUUAAGCCCUUCGGGUUGUAAAGUUCUUUCAGUGGGUACGAAACUUAACGUUACCCACAGAGUAAGCACCGGCUAACUCCGUUCCAGCAGCCGCGGUCAUACGGGGGGUACAAGCGUUGUUCGAAAUCAUUGGGCGGAAAGAGUUCGUAGGUGGCGUAGUAAGUCUGGUGUCAAAUGCAUAAGCUCAACUUCUGUUCGGCACUGGAUACUGGUAAGCUUGAAUGCGAUAGAGGUAAACGGAAUUCCUGGUGUAGCGGUGAAAUGCGUAGAUAUCAGGAGGAACAUCGGUGGCGUAAGCGCUUUACUGGGCCGUAAUUGACACUGAGGAACGAAAGCCGGGGUAGCAAAUGGGAUUAGAUACCCUUGUAGUC